rfam:Pan troglodytes isolate Yerkes chimp pedigree #C0471 (Clint) chromosome 1, whole genome shotgun sequence.
CCAAAGGCUCUUUUAAGAGCCACCCACCUGGUCGGAAGAGUUGCUG